rnacentral:rRNA from 1 species
UUUAAAGUCUAACCUGCCCAAUGAGGAGUUAAAUGGCUGCGGUAAUUUGACCGUACAAAGGUAGCAUAAUCAUUAGUUUUUUAAUUGAAAGCUGGAAUGAAAGGUUGGACGAGAAAAUGACUGUCUCAAUUUAAUUUAAAUUAGAAUUUUAUUUUUAAGUAAAAAAGCUUAAAUAAUUUUAAAAGACGAGAAGACCCUAUAGAAUUUUAUAUAUUUUAAGAUAAAUGUUUUAAAGUUAAUUUUUAUUUUUAUUUAAAAAUGUAUUUUGUUGGGGUGAUAGAAAAAUUUAAUGAACUUUUUUUUUUUUAUAUCAUUAAUUUAUGAUUAAAUGAUCCAUUUUUUAUGAUUAGAAGAUUAAAUUACCUUAGGGAUAACAGCGUAAUUUUUCUUAAGAGUUCAUAUUUAAAGAAAAUUGCGACCUCGAUGUUGGAUUAAAA